UACGUAGGUGACAAGCGUUGUCCGGAUUUACUGGGCGUAAAGAGCGCGCAGGCGGUCUAUCAAGUCGAGUGUGAAAGCCCCCGGCUCAACUGGGGAGGGUCAUUCGAUACUGAUCGACUCGAAGGCAGGAGAGGGUAGUGGAAUUCCCGGUGUAGUGGUGAAAUGCGUAGAUAUCGGGAGGAACACCAGUGGCGAAGGCGACUACCUGGCCUGUUCUUGACGCUGAGGCGCGAAAGCUAGGGGAGCAAACGGG
rnacentral:rRNA from 1 species